GGGUGUUAAACUGUUGAGAAUAUCUUGGAGAUAUUGUCAUGGAUAGGUUUAGUUGGCUUUGGUAGUUUGUAUCUCUUUCCCCUGGAUAGGAAUUUUAAUCGUUUCUUGUAAGCUAAGUGAGGAUAAGGGUACCCACGGGUCCCCACCGACCAGGAUACUGGUCGGCCCUAAGAAAUGGGCCCACCCGACCACACCGUGCGGGCCAAGGCAUGAACAUACAUGGAGCACAAAUCUGGAGGCUGAG
rnacentral:lncRNA from 1 species